rnacentral:rRNA from 1 species
UAAGGAAUAUUGGUCAAUGGGCGCAAGUCUGAACCAGCCAUGCCGCGUGAAGGAUGAAGGUCCUCUGGAUUGUAAACUUCUUUUAUCUGGGACGAAAACGGGAUUUUUAUCUCAAUUGACGGUACCAGAGGAAUAAGCACCGGCUAACUCCGUGCCAGCAGCCGCGGUAAUACGGAGGGUGCGAGCGUUAUCCGGAUUUACUGGGUUUAAAGGGUGCGUAGGUGGGCUUAUAAGUCAGUGGUGAAAUCUCCGAGCUUAACUUGGAAACUGCCGUUGAUACUAUAGGUCUUGAAUUAUCUGGAGGUAAGCGGAAUAUGUCAUGUAGCGGUGAAAUGCUUAGAUAUGACAUAGAACACCAAUUGCGAAGGCAGCUUACUACAUAUAAAUUGACGCUGAGGCACGAAAGCGUGGGGAUCAAACA